UACGUAGGGACCAAGCGUUGUUCGGAUUUACUGGGCGUAAAGGGCGCGUAGGCGGCGUGGUAAGUCACUUGUGAAAUCUCUGAGCUUAACUCAGAACGGUCAAGUGAUACUGCUGUGCUAGAGUGCGGAAGGGGCAAUCGGAAUUCUUGGUGUAGCGGUAAAAUGCGUAGAUAUCAAGAGGAACACCUGAGGUGAAGACGGGUUGCUGGGCCGACACUGACGCUGAUGCGCGAAAGCCAGGGGAGCAACCGGG
rnacentral:rRNA from 1 species